rnacentral:misc_RNA from 1 species
GGCCAUGCCAGGAAAACAGUUAAGAAUAUACAAAUAAAUAAUGAAAAUAACAGCUUAAAAAUUCCUUAAUUAAUCCACUUUCUAAGUGUCUUAUUGCAAUUCAAGUGCAAUGCUAAGCAGAAUCCAAUUUAUGUUAUCCAGAAUCAAACUUUUUUUUUAUCAACUUUAAGAUAAAUGCAUGAGUAAUUAAUGUUACUAAAACAAGUAACAUGAUUCAAUCUUUUAUUUUUCCCUCUUUCUUUUCCUCUCCCUGUGUUAAUGAGUGGAAAAAUUGAAAAGUUGAAACCCUUUAUUAUAAUUUUAUUUUUCUUUAGCAAUAGUUAUGGCAACAAAAGAAUAGCCUUCUUCUCUUUUUGAUAAACAUACAAGAGGCUCCUUCAGCUUUAAACACUAAU